rnacentral:misc_RNA from 1 species
CUGCUUGCCCGGUGGCU